UGGCGGCGUGCCUAAUACAUGCAAGUCGAACGAAACUUUCUUACACCGAAUGCUUGCAUUCAUCGUAAGAAGUUGAGUGGCGGACGGGUGAGUAACACGUGGGUAACCUGCCUAAAAGAAGGGGAUAACACUUGGAAACAGGUGCUAAUACCGUAUAUCUCUAAGGAUCGCAUGAUCCUUAGAUGAAAGAUGGUUCUGCUAUCGCUUUUAGAUGGACCCGCGGCGUAUUAACUAGUUGGUGGGGUAACGGCCUACCAAGGUGAUGAUACGUAGCCGAACUGAGAGGUUGAUCGGCCACAUUGGGACUGAGACACGGCCCAAACUCCUACGGGAGGCAGCAGUAGGGAAUCUUCCACAAUGGACGCAAGUCUGAUGGAGCAACGCCGCGUGAGUGAAGAAGGUCUUCGGAUCGUAAAACUCUGUUGUUAGAGAAGAACACGAGUGAGAGUAACUGUUCAUUCGAUGACGGUAUCUAACCAGCAAGUCACGGCUAACUACGUGCCAGCAGCCGCGGUAAUACGUAGGUGGCAAGCGUUGUCCGGAUUUAUUGGGCGUAAAGGGAACGCAGGCGGUCUUUUAAGUCUGAUGUGAAAGCCUUCAGCUUAACCGGAGUAGUGCAUUGGAAACUGGGAGACUUGAGCGCAGAAGAGGAGAGUGGAACUCCAUGUGUAGCGGUGAAAUGCGUAGAUAUAUGGAAGAACACCAGUGGCGAAAGCGGCUCUCUGGUCUGUAACUGACGCUGAGGUUCGAAAGCGUGGGUAGCAAACAGGAUUAGAUACCCUGGUAGUCCACGCCGUAAACGAUGAAUGCUAGGUGUUGGAGGGUUUCCGCCCUUCAGUGCCGCAGCUAACGCAAUAAGCAUUCCGCCUGGGGAGUACGACCACAAGGUUGAAACUCAAAGGAAUUGACGGGGGCCCGCACAAGCGGUGGAGCAUGUGGUUUAAUUCGAAGCAACGCGAAGAACCUUACCAGGUCUUGACAUCCUUUGACCACCUAAGAGAUUAGGCUUUCCCUUCGGGGACAAGUGACAGGUGGUGC
rnacentral:rRNA from 1 species